rnacentral:rRNA from 1 species
UACGGGGGGGGCAAGCGUUGUUCGGAAUUACUGGGCGUAAAGCGCGCGUAGGCGGCUUUGUAAGUUAGAGGUGAAAGCCCGGGGCUCAACCCCGGAACAGCCUUUAAGACUGCAUCGCUAGAAUCCGGGAGAGGUGAGUGGAAUUCCGAGUGUAGAGGUGAAAUUCGUAGAUAUUCGGAAGAACACCAGUGGCGAAGGCGGCUCACUGGACCGGUAUUGACGCUGAGGUGCGAAAGCGUGGGGAGCAAACAGG